rnacentral:tRNA from 1 species
CGGUUAGCUCAGUGGAUAGAGCACCAGACCGAUAAUCUGGCUGUCGCGGGUUCGACUCCCGUACCGA